rnacentral:rRNA from 1 species
UACGAAGGGGGCUAGCGUUGCUCGGAAUCACUGGGCGUAAAGCGCACGUAGGCGGAUUGCUAAGUCAGGGGUGAAAUCCUGGAGCUCAACUCCAGAACUGCCCUUGAUACUGGCGACCUUGAGUCCGGGAGAGGUGAGUGGAACUGCGAGUGUAGAGGUGAAAUUCGUAGAUAUUCGCAAGAACACCAGUGGCGAAGGCGGCUCACUGGCCCGGUACUGACGCUGAGGUGCGAAAGCGUGGGGAGCGAACAGG